UUUUUUUCCAUAUGUCUGGAGUGCCAGCGUGCAUGCCUGUGAGUCCGCGUGGAUUUCAGCCCUCGCUGCAGUCGUGUCCAGUGGUCUUUGUAGGAAUCUAUUGCAUCGGUUUUUGGCAACAUAGUCAAGUAGAGGCGUGACCCAGCCAGGCAGCGCAAGGCUUUCUUUAUAAACCAGGGAAAGCGUUCACAGCCGGAGAUAGAUGCUUGUGGAGAUCAGGUUUUCCGUUCGUAUGAGGCAUUACAGGUGAGUACUUUGUCUGUUAAUUUUAUUGGAUUUGUUUUGGCCCUCAUUGUCCUCUGCGUUUUUGGAGAGUCAACCUUUGCAGCAAGGACCCCAAAGGAGAGCUGUGGUUGAUAAGGACCCUUAAUCGCGUAUUGUGUAAUUAUUUUAAUGAACCCAUUAUGUGCUCUAUUUUGGGAGAGUCAAUCGCAGUAAGGACCCCUUUUUGGGAGAGCUGCACAUGGCAAGGACCCCUUAAUGUGAGCGUUGGAGAAUUUUUUUGAUUUUAUUUGUCGUUUGUUUCACUGUGUGAGAGAGUCAGUCUUCUCAGUCGCAUCAGUAGAAACCUCUUUUGGCUCAGUUAAGGAGAGUCAAGUGCAGUAAGGACCCCUUCAUUUGGGAGAGCUGUACAUGGCAAGGACCCUUAAUGGGAGCAUCAUUUUAAUUUUUGAUUUAGUUUUUGAUUUGGUUUACGCGUCCAUGUAGCUGUGUGGAAUUUCCUCGCCGCAGUCGGAGUGUGGUUGGGGUAGACGUAUCCCUCGCCGCAGUCAUGUGUACUGGAGACCAGGCAUGAGUCCAUACGUGGUUCAGACGGUCAUGUCCAGCCAGGCACGUUUGGAUGAAUUUUGAACGAGCAUUACAUGGCUCGGGUAGGCAGCUCAAGUCUUCAAGAAGAGCGCAGGACAGUUUGAAGUCGUCCAGGACAGGAUCAGAUGUUUAUGGAGAACAGGUAAUUUGUUGAUGGGCCCAUUUUUGACUUUAAU